ACUAUGUCCACUAAACAUUCACUGAACGAUUUACAGUUUCUCUUUAUCUUAUACUGUUUUCAGCUCGUCUGUCUGUUCCUGUCAUCUGCAGUAACUCUUCACAAUCUUCAUCAUCUUCAUCAUCAUCAUACUGUUCAUUGUUGUGUUCAGUGGUGAAUGUGGGUCAUGUGACUCUCUCCUGGUACAAAGGAAACAGUUUAUUGUCCAGCAUCAGUGUGUCUGAUCUCAGCAUCAGUCUCUCUCUACCUCUGGAGGUGGAAUAUCAGGAGAAAAACAGCUACAGCUGUGUGAUCAACAAUCCCAUCACAAACCAGACCACACAUCUCAACAUCACUCAACUCUGUCAGAUUCAAUCAGAUCAGGGUUUACCUUUAUUGUACACAAUGCUGAUUUCUGCUGCUGCUGCUGGAUCUCUGAUUGUAGUUGUAGUUGUGAUGUGCUGCAUCUGCAAAAAAUACAGAAAAAACGUCUUGACACGACAGGAAGACCGAACUCUUUCAGCGUUGUGUAAACCAACAGGAAGAACGGUAAGAUAAUGACUGAUUAUGUUGACUGUGUUGUUGCUGUGAUUGACGUUUGCAGCAUCAGAC